AAAAUACUCCCCCGUCCCAAAAUUCUUGUCUUAGAUUUGACUAGAUACGGAUGUAUCUAAUACUAAAACGUGACUUGAUACAUCCGUAUUUAGACAAAUCUAAGGCAAGAAUUUUGGGACGGAGGGAGUAUAAG
rnacentral:pre_miRNA from 1 species